AGGACGAACGCUGGCGGCGUGCUUAACACAUGCAAGUCGAGCGGAAAGGCCCUUCGGGGUACUCGAGCGGCGAACGGGUGAGUAACACGUGAGUAACCUGCCCCUAGCUCUGGGAUAGCUCCGGGAAACCGGGAUUAAUACCAGAUACGACCACUUUAGACAUCUGUCGUGGUGGAAAGGAUUCCGGCUAGGGAUGGGCUCGCGGCCUAUCAGCUUGUUGGUGGGGUAACGGCCUACCAAGGCGACGACGGGUAGCCGGCCUGAGAGGGCGACCGGCCACACUGGGACUGAGACACGGCCCAGACUCCUACGGGAGGCAGCAGUGGGAAUAUUGCGCAAUGGGCGAAAGCCUGACGCAGCGACGCCGCGUGGGGAUGAAGGCCUUCGGGUUGUAAACCCCUUUCAGCAGGGACGAAGCGAAAGUGACGGUACCUGCAGAAGAAGGCCCGGCCAACUACGUGCCAGCAGCCGC
rnacentral:rRNA from 1 species